rnacentral:rRNA from 1 species
GACAGAGGUCCCGAGCGUUAGGCGGAAUCACUGGGCUUAAAGCGUGUGUAGGCGGAUUUGUAAGUACCUUGUGAAAUCCCACGGCUUAACCGUGGAACUGCUUGGUAUACUGCUUAUCUUGGGCCAUCUAGGGGCUACUGGAACAAACGGUGGAGCGGUGAAAUGCGUAGAUAUCGUUUGGAACGCCAAUGGUGAAAACAAGUAGCUGGGGAUGUGCCGACGCUGAGACACGAAAGCCAGGGGAGCAAAUGGG